rnacentral:rRNA from 1 species
UACGAAGGGGGCUAGCGUUGUUCGGAAUUACUGGGCGUAAAGCGCACGUAGGCGGAUCGAUCAGUCAGGGGUGAAAUCCCAGGGCUCAACCCUGGAACUGCCUUUGAUACUGUCGAUCUGGAGUAUGGAAGAGGUGAGUGGAAUUCCGAGUGUAGAGGUGAAAUUCGUAGAUAUUCUGAGGAACACCAGUGGCGAAGGCGGCUCACUGGUCCAUUACUGACGCUGAGGUGCGAAAGCGUGGGGAGCAAACAGG